GACGUCAGCUUGAGGCUCUGGGGACUUUUAUUUAAUUUAUUUUUUUUUAAGUCAAAGAACUGUAAACGGACUAAAUGAUUGAUGUAUUAAUUGAAAUAAAUAAGCAACAGAUAUGGUAAUAAUCAUUAGUUGCGGCCCACUUCCACGAGGCCCGACUGAUAACUAACAUUGAUCACACGCGGACAAUAAAGCAGACGGAUUGACGACACGUUACGUGACAGGAGGCAGCCGAUCAACAUGUUUCGUAAGACAGCAGUUAAAGACUCAAGAUGGAGGGGGGGUGGGGAGGGGGGGAGAGCUUUUUCUUCUUCACUGAAACCUUCAAUUUACUGAGAACAAAAGCUGACCACAAAAAUCACGCUGGCGACAAGCCUGGGUAUCCAACAACAUCCUCAUUUUACUCUCCCUCCCUCUCUCACGAACGCACAGACUGAGUUCUGUUGACAUCAUGAGUUCGCCUCAUAAUUACUUCCAUCCGAGUCUCGUAAGGGGCCUUAAUUUGAAGGGUUAGCCUCCCCCCUCCCCCCUCCAAGCAUUAUCUGUGUGCUCAAAUACUUGGCAUAGCAAUGAUGUGUGUUUGAAGGUAAUCCUCGCUGUCUCUCCCCUUAAAAAAGUAGCCUGUAUGACUAGAAGGACGGGAGGGAAGCCCCCCCAUUGUGACUGCACAAGGGCUUCAACCAGGGGCGGCCAUUUUGCUGCGAUUGCUCUGAGCAACCAGGCGGGCUGAAGAGCACUCCUGCGCUCGGCGCGAUUUCUUUUACAUUUUCUGGCUUCUUUGUUUUUAAAUUCACUCUCCCUUUAUUCCUUUUCAGCGUUGUUUGUCUCGCCAUGUGCAUGUGUGUGAGAUCCCCCCCCCCAUCUUUCCAAAGAGAGGCCAAUAAAACUCCGCUCCAAAAAGAAAAUCCAGAGUAGUUUUAGAUCCUCGAUCACAGCGGUUCCAAAAAAAAUAAAUGUUUGUGUGAUUUACCCACACACAGUCAGACGAGCUCAUCCACGCCACCCAUCGUGUUUUAAACAGACUCUUUAGUGUUAUUUAACACUAUUAAUUAUACAAAAUUGUUAGAAUAUUUAAAUAUUUCAUGGAGUUGGGUCAGUUUGGUCGUGCUUGCAUUCGUACAGCUCCCACUUUGCGUGGCGCGGGGUGGAUGCUUCGGUCCGUUAUCCAUUACUUUUAGCUAACUAUUUCAAAUUCUCUGUUCGCUUGCUAACAAGCUAACUAGGCUCCGUCUCAAUACGUGGUGUUACAGCCGAGGUACGUAUUGUGCAGUCAGUCUAUCAUCAGAAACGCUUUAUUGAUCCAAACUCUUUCGUUACAGCUGCUCACUGUCACGUCAGCGCACACAGGAACAGAAGCACUAAUAGAAAUAUAAAUAAUAAUAAAAAUAAGUCCACAACGAGACAAUUAUUUCUAGUAAGAAAUAAGAGAUGUGCAAUUCAAAAUAUAUAAAACACUAUAAUACAGCUAAGAUUAAUUAAUCACAGCUGGUGGCUCAAUUACAUGUACUAAAGAUCAACAUCAUACCAAUUUGUAAUCCUAUUUUCCUCCUUAAUACAAAUAUAUGGAUAUAUUUUUCUAAAUCAAAUCAUAAUUUUGUUCCCACGUAAGCCCUGGCAACUACAGGAGAAACCCCCUGGGGGUUCAAGUAGCCCUGGUUGGGGAUCACCGCUCUAUUAUGUCCUCAUUUAAACCCCCAUACACGGGGCACAGGGGCGCUGUGAUCCUGUGUGUGUGUGUACUUUAUCCUAAACCUUAAAAUGGUGACUACCGGCUCUUCGUUUCCUCGCCGCGGCGUGCUGGAACAAGCCCACUGCGUCACAUUACAGGAAUCACACUCAUUCGGAGGAUAAUGUGGAGUCAGGCUUAUUCGAUUACGUAUGCCAGCAUGAGCCAUAUUCACUCAAAUGGCUCUUUUUUUUGCCCUCGCACUAAAUAUUUUACGUCAUUCCUUGAGGCAUGUUUUAAUCUGAGUUUUUAAAAUCAGCUUUUUGCUGAGCAUGCUGGUCUUUUACUUGAGGGAUUUAUGCAUUUGUGCUUUUCUCACUAGUUUGAAGCGGGCGGGACGCCGGACUUCCACGCACCAAUACGGAUUUAGCUAAAUUUUAAAUGAAAAUAACGGCAGUCGAGGGGGUCGCUCUGAAACCAGGUGCUUUAAAACGGGACCGCUCACACCUAAAGCCUCUACAAAUCAGUGUGCAGUAAGCGGACGAGACAGAGACGAGAUCAGCCCACCGCACACACCUCUGCUAGAGCUGGAGAUUAACCUCAGCAGCCAACAUGAAUGGAAGAUAUGGUUUUUGAAAAAGUAGCAUGCUGGACAAGGAGGGGAGGCGGUUGGAGAGCGGACGGAAG